rnacentral:rRNA from 1 species
UACGUAGGGGGCAAGCGUUGUCCGGAUUUAUUGGGCGUAAAGAGCGUGUAGGCGGCCAGGUAGGUCUGCUGUGAAAACUCGAGGCUCAACCUCGAGACGUCGGCGGAAACCAUCUGGCUAGAGUCCGGAAGAGGAGAGUGGAAUUCCUGGUGUAGCGGUGAAAUGCGCAGAUAUCAGGAAGAACACCCGUGGCGAAGGCGGCUCUCUGGGCUGGUACUGACGCUGAGAAGCGAAAGCGUGGGUAGCAAACAGG